ACCAAGCCGAUGAUCUAUAGCUGGUCUGAGAGGACGAUCAGCCACACUGGGACUGAGACACGGCCCAGACUUCUACGGAAGGCAGCAGUGGGGAAUAUUGGACAAUGGGGGAAACCCUGAUCCAGCGAUGCCGCGUGAGUGAUGAAGGCCUUCGGGUUGUAAAGCUCUUUUAUAGGUGAAGAUGAUGACGGUAACCUAUGAAUAAGCUCCGGCUAACUUCGUGCCAGCAGCCGCGGUAAUACGAAGGGAGCAAGCGUUGUUCGGAAUAACUGGGCGUAAAGGGCGCGUAGGCGGAUUGGUAAGUUUGAUGUGAAAUACCUGGGCUCAACCCGGGAACUGCAUCGGAUACUGCUAGUCUAGAGUGUUGAAAGGGAUGAUGGAAUUAUGCAUGGAGAGGUGGAAUUCAUAGAUAUGCAUAGGAACACCGGAGGCGAAGGCGAUCAUCUGGGCAACAACUGACGCUGAGGCGCGAAAGCGUGGGGAGCAAACAGGAUUAGAUACCCUGGUAGUCCACGCUGUAAACGAUGAAUGCUAGACGUUGGUAUUUUGGUAUAUCAGUGUCGAAGUUAACACGAUAAGCAUUCCGCCUGGGGAGUACGGUCGCAAGAUUAAAACUCAAAGGAAUUGACGGGGACCCGCACAAGCGGUGGAUUAUGUGGUUUAAUUUCGAAGCUACGCGCAAAACCUUACCAGCUCUUGACAUGUACCUCAACUGAGUGAGAGAUCACUUGGGCACUUCGGGGUGGAGGUAACACAGUGCUGCAUGGCUGUCGUCAGCUCGUGUCGUGAGAAUGUUGGGUUAAGUCCC
rnacentral:rRNA from 1 species